GGACAGAGGGGUCAGAGAAGGAGCGAUGGGCUGGAGGUUUCUUUUAUUUGGUCGGGCCAUGACCUAAUCAUGUGUACCACCAUACACAGGUGAGGAAGCACGUGGUGAAGUGCAUGCUUGGAAUGUGUGGUGGUUGCCAUGGCAACCUUUGUCGCCUAGGGGUGAUGUAAUCGCUGGAUUCGGAGGUGACCAUAAAGCCAGUCUCUGAUGCCUACACACAGACUAUACAGUGUGAUGGAAUACAGGCAAAACUUGAAUGAUUAUGAAAUAGGAUUCUAUCCACUGGCUGGCAUGCUGGAAAGCUUUAUGGUCCUCUUGGCACGUGCUACAGUGGGGACUCACAACAGCUCUAUGACAUCAUUGGAAGAGUGAAGUAAAGUACUGGAUGUUUAACUGUAAAGGAGCUUCUUCAAAUGGGAGAAAAGAUGGGAGAUACAUGCCAACAGUGAGUCCAUGCAGAAGUGGCAUCAUAACUGGUGACUAGAAGUGGAAUAAGAGAUUCUUCCUGCAUCACGACUGCUAUAGCACACAGUCAGAAGGAGCAAGUGACUCACUCACACAGCUGCUUGGAGCUACAAUGCCACACAGCCUUUGUCGACCAGCUAUUCCCUGUGAAAGAAGCCUAGUCAGUUUGACCUCUCUUCUGCAUCUUCUAAACUCUUGGCCAAGAUCUUCUGAAGCCCAAAAACCAAGAAGUAGGAAGGUAAUGUCAGUGAUGUCAGUGGUACAGCACUGCGCAUGGUGUAUGGAUGCAUCCCUCUGCGUUGUAAAGAAGAAAAGUCUUCACUCAGAAGUGGGCACCUGCACUGAAAAUUCAUGGAGUUAGAAUACAGGGAUGCGCCUGAUCCAUUCAAUGGUGCAAGAUUGGAGACAGGAUUCUUCCCCAGAAGAAAACCUUAUUAAGAGUUCCAAUGGAGACUGCAGCCUGACUGAUGGUGCUCACAUUUCUUCAACAUCAGUGAGACCACCCUUGGCACAAGUGAGAAUGUGAGGCCACUAAUCUGCUGUGGAAUCAUGAAAUAGUUCCACAUCAUCAUCAGAUAAGCAGAGCUUACACAGAGUGGUGCAAACUACACACUUGUCUACCAAAGGAAACCUCAGAUGCUUAGGCGACCUCUGAACAGUAGACUCACCAACAAAUGUCUUCAUAUUGUCUCAGAAGAGGGGGGGGGCUUUACUUCUUCUAUUUGUCUGUUUGUUC
rnacentral:lncRNA from 1 species